rnacentral:lncRNA from 1 species
UAGAUUAAAAUUACAAUUCCUAUAUCCCUGAAAUUGCAGUGGGUUGGAAUGAGGCUUCCUGAAGAAGAGAAGCACCAAAUAAGUCGAGAUUUGACAAGACUAGGCAAAAUUGGCCUUUUUGAUGUCUUUACUCCAUUCUCGUUACACGAUAAUGAGCAAAGAGGGGCAGCUGCAAUAGGUCUUUUUUACCCGGGCCUAAACCAAACCAAAUAAAAAUAAAAUAAUUACAAGUCCAAUUACAAAAGAGGCCCAAUGGCCUAAAAUAAGAGAAAACCCUAACGGCCCGUUGGCCUAACAACUUAAACAUUUUCGAAAACAAAAAAAAAAUCCCUAAACCCCUCUCUGCCGCUCCUCCUUUCGCAUGCAUGCUGCCCGAGGCUUGAUGCACCAUUUCUGUCGCUGUUUCACCAAUGUAGCAAAAGGUCUGCCUUUAUCUCUUUAUUAAUCGAGCUCCAAACCUGCAAAAAGGAUGAAAAAUUGCAGAAACAAAAACAAC